rnacentral:rRNA from 1 species
AACGAACGCUGGCGGCAGGCUUAACACAUGCAAGUCGAACGCCACCUUCGGGUGGAGUGGCAGACGGGUGAGUAACGCGUGGGAACAUACCUUUUGGUUCGGAAUAUUCCCGGGAAACUGGGAGCAAUACCGGAUAAGCCCUUCGGGGGAAAGAUUUAUCGCCAAAAGAUUGGCCCGCGUUAGAUUAGGUAGUUGGUAGGGUAAAGGCCUACCAAGCCUACGAUCUAUAGCUGGUCUGAGAGGAUGAUCAGCCACAUUGGGACUGAGACACGGCCCAAACUCCUACGGGAGGCAGCAGUGGGGAAUAUUGGACAAUGGGCGCAAGCCUGAUCCAGCCAUGCCGCGUGAAUGAUGAAGGCCUUAGGGUUGUAAAAUUCUUUCAACGGGGACGAUAAUGACGGUACCCGUAGAAGAAGCCCCGGCUAACUUCGUGCCAGCCGCCGCCGUAA